UUUAGUGACGAUAGCGAUGAGGUCACACCCGUCCCCAUGCCGAACACGGAAGUUAAGCUCAUCAGCGCUUAUGGUAGUUGGGGGUUUCCCCCUGUGAGAGUAGGACGUUGCUAAAC
rnacentral:rRNA from 1 species